rnacentral:rRNA from 1 species
UCUGAAUCUGCGAACGGCUCCGCAAACCAGUUGUAAACUAGAGUGAGCUAGCUCAACGUGACCUUCGGGCUGCAGUAGGGCGAUAUGGAUACCCCUGGUAAUUCUGAGGCUAAUACAGGACCGCAAAACUUGGUCAACCGGGCUUCGGCCUGGAAGACUGAGGGAUGUGUGACCCUACGGCUUGGGUUUUAACCAGGAAGGGGUGCACUUUCAGGCCGCGUUACAAAGGAUCAGACCCCCCUCCCUCGGGAGGGGGGACUGGCCCCAGCGGCUCUUACUGUGUGCUUCUGACCUAUCAACUAGACGGCAGCUUAAAGGACAUGCUAUGGU